UACGUAGGUGGCAAGCGUUACUCGGAAUCACUAGGCGUAAAGCGCAGGUAGGCGGUUCGGUAAGUCUUUUGUGAAAGCUCCUGGCUCAACUGGGAGAGGUCAAAGGAAACUACCGGGCUAGAGUUUGGUAGGGGAUACUGGAAUUCCUGGUGUAGCGGUGAAAUGCGUAGAUAUCAGGAGGAAUACCUAUGGCGAAAGCAGGUAUCUGGGCCACAACUGACGCUGAGCUGCGAAAGCUAGGGGAGCAAACAGG
rnacentral:rRNA from 2 species